rnacentral:rRNA from 1 species
AAAUUGAAGAGUUUGAUCAUGGCUCAGAUUGAACGCUGGCGGCAGGCCUAACACAUGCAAGUCGAACGGUAGCACAGAGAGCUUGCUCUCGGGUGACGAGUGGCGGACGGGUGAGUAAUGUCUGGGAAACUGCCUGAUGGAGGGGGAUAACUACUGGAAACGGUAGCUAAUACCGCAUAACGUCGCAAGACCAAAGAGGGGGACCUUCGGGCCUCUUGCCAUCAGAUGUGCCCAGAUGGGAUUAGCUAGUAGGUGGGGUAAUGGCUCACCUAGGCGACGAUCCCUAGCUGGUCUGAGAGGAUGACCAGCCACACUGGAACUGAGACACGGUCCAGACUCCUACGGGAGGCAGCAGUGGGGAAUAUUGCACAAUGGGCGCAAGCCUGAUGCAGCCAUGCCGCGUGUAUGAAGAAGGCCUUCGGGUUGUAAAGUACUUUCAGCGGGGAGGAAGGUGUUGCGGUUAAUAACCGCAGCAAUUGACGUUACCCGCAGAAGAAGCACCGGCUAACUCCGUGCCAGCAGCCGCGGUAAUACGGAGGGUGCAAGCGUUAAUCGGAAUUACUGGGCGUAAAGCGCACGCAGGCGGUCUGUCAAGUCGGAUGUGAAAUCCCCGGGCUCAACCUGGGAACUGCAUUCGAAACUGGCAGGCUAGAGUCUUGUAGAGGGGGGUAGAAUUCCAGGUGUAGCGGUGAAAUGCGUAGAGAUCUGGAGGAAUACCGGUGGCGAAGGCGGCCCCCUGGACAAAGACUGACGCUCAGGUGCGAAAGCGUGGGGAGCAAACAGGAUUAGAUACCCUGGUAGUCCACGCCGUAAACGAUGUCGACUUGGAGGUUGUUCCCUUGAGGAGUGGCUUCCGGAGCUAACGCGUUAAGUCGACCGCCUGGGGAGUACGGCCGCAAGGUUAAAACUCAAAUGAAUUGACGGGGGCCCGCACAAGCGGUGGAGCAUGUGGUUUAAUUCGAUGCAACGCGAAGAACCUUACCUACUCUUGACAUCCAGAGAACUUUCCAGAGAUGGAUUGGUGCCUUCGGGAACUCUGAGACAGGUGCUGCAUGGCUGUCGUCAGCUCGUGUUGUGAAAUGUUGGGUUAAGUCCCGCAACGAGCGCAACCCUUAUCCUUUGUUGCCAGCGGCUAGGCCGGGAACUCAAAGGAGACUGCCAGUGAUAAACUGGAGGAAGGUGGGGAUGACGUCAAGUCAUCAUGGCCCUUACGAGUAGGGCUACACACGUGCUACAAUGGCGCAUACAAAGAGAAGCGACCUCGCGAGAGCAAGCGGACCUCAUAAAGUGCGUCGUAGUCCGGAUUGGAGUCUGCAACUCGACUCCAUGAAGUCGGAAUCGCUAGUAAUCGUAGAUCAGAAUGCUACGGUGAAUACGUUCCCGGGCCUUGUACACACCGCCCGUCACACCAUGGGAGUGGGUUGCAAAAGAAGUAGGUAGCUUAACCUUCGGGAGGGCGCUUACCACUUUGUGAUUCAUGACUGGGGUGAAGUCGUAACAAGGUAACCGUAGGGGAACCUGCGGUUGGAUCACCUCCUUA